rnacentral:tRNA from 1 species
GGGCCGGUAGCUCAGCUUGGUAUGAGCGUCCGGUUCGCAACCGGAAGGCCGCGGGUUCGAAUCCCGCCCGGUCCA